UUCUAAGAGGUAUAGGUGAAUAGUUGUAUCUAUUCUAAGAUGUAUAAGUGAACAGUUGUAUCUGUUCUAAGAGGUAUAAGUGAACAGUUGUAUAUGUUCUAAGAGGUAUAAAUGAACGGUUGUAUAUGUUCUAAAAGGCAUAAGUGAACAGAUGUAAUUGUUCUAAGAGAUACAAAGUGAACGGUUGUAUCUGUUAUAAAAGGUAUAAGUGAACAGAUGUAAUUGUUCUAAGAGAUACAAAGCAAACGAUUGUAUUUAUUCUAAAAGGUGUAAGUGAACAGAUGCAAUUAUUCUAAUAGAUACAAAGUGAACUAUUGUAUAUGUUUGAAGAGAUGCAAAUGCUUUAUAAAUAGUAGUUUGGAACAAAAAUCUAUUAACUUUUCUUUUUUGUCUCUUCUCUUCAUUUUUACCGACAAUCAACAUUAUUAUUCUUUAAUUUAUUCUUGGGAGAAUUUUAAAAUUGCUGUCUAGAUUUAUAUUUUGGUUAUUAUCCUUGAGGGAUCUGCCUAAAACUACCCAGCUAUAACAUAGUGGGGGUUUUACUCUUUGCAAUUUCAUUAUAUUGAGGGAAGUAAAUACUCCAUAUGAUAUUUAUUACAAAUUGACUGGAAAUUUUGGUAGAAUAAUUAUUCAAAUUGAGUGUGCUAGUGCUAUUGGUAGCUUAAUGUAUGUUAUGCAUUGCACUACUCCUGAUAUUGCUUUUGCAAUGUAUAAAUUGUCAAGAUAUACUAAUAAUCCUAGUGUGGAAUAUUGAAAAGAAA